AUACGGAGGGUGCAAGCGUUAUCCGGAAUCAUUGGGUUUAAAGGGUCCGUAGGCGGGCGAUUAAGUCAGAGGUGAAAUCCCACAGCUCAACUGUGGAACUGCCUUUGAUACUGGUUGUCUUGAGUUACAGUGAAGUAGAUAGAAUGUGUAGUGUAGCGGUGAAAUGCAUAGAUACUACACAGAAUACCGAUUGCGAAGGCAAUCUACUAACUGUAUACUGACGCUAAUGGACGAAAGCGUGGGGAGCGAACAGGAUUAGAAACCCUAGUAGUCC
rnacentral:rRNA from 1 species